GUUUUUUUUCGUAUUCCUGUGAUUAUUGGCAAACAAUUAGGCAUGUUUCUUUUAGCAUUGCCUUUUGUAAUAAUUGUUGUCAUAAAUUGUGAAGAUGGGAGCAACAUUUAGAGAUAUAUCUACACUUUUUUAGUUUUUUAGUACAUGCUAAUGUAGCACGCAGAUGUGAAGUUGGUUCUACUUGUGGAUACUAGUGUUUAUACAAAUAAGGUGAAGAAGAUGUUGGUUCAAUAGUCAGUAGUUAGGCAGUCCAAAGGUGUGACUAAUGCAUCUUUUUAAUGCUCCCUGGCACAACAGUAGCCCCUUGCCAUGCUUUGGGGAACCUUUAAAAAGUCACUGAUAUACUGUUUCAGAGUCCUUACAAGUCAGAAAUUAUUAAAAAAUGAAAUGAGUGCCAAUGAGCUUUAAAGAUUGCCAAGGGAUUAUUUCUCACAACAGCUGUUCUUAUUCUUUCUCUUGAGGGAUACACAAGGGAGGCUGAAACAGUCCCUAAAUGUAGAGCAACUGAGUGAUGGAUUCCUGCUUUACUUCCUUUGUGUUUUACUAACCACCUCACUAUGAGGGGUUUUUUAUUUUUAUUUUUUGUGUAUAUCAAAGUUAAUGAGUUAACAAAGUUAAUGUUUAGGGCAUUCAAUUCUAAGAUGUUUUGUUUAUUAGAACUCUACAGUAUGUGAUGGGAUAGAAGAUCAUAGAUGGCAAGUGUACUUGUGGCCAAACAUUUUUUGCCAAGAACGUAGCACACAAAAUGUAAAAGUGUGGGUAGACAUUAGGCACUGUUUCCAUUGGACAGAGUAUCUACUUGUGGCAGUGGUUAAGAAGAAGAAAUUCUAAAGUGGUUACUAAGAAGAUAUAAUGAGCCUCUGUCUUCAGUGAACAUGAGUUACACGAUACCUGCUCUGUAAUCUUCUGUCUUAUUAAGGCAAAACUCAAAUAUAGCACCAGGCUUGUGUUGUUGCUCAAGCCAAAUACCACAUGCUCAAGAGGCUUAUUGUGUUUUUAUGUCCUUUGAUCUCCAUCUGUCAGUUUCUUCAUUUGUCAAGCAGAAACAACUGGGCUUAGGAUAACAAACCAAGGUGAGUGUUGAGUAACAUUCCAGUCUACAAGCUGGGCACAAAGAGCAUGGAUAUAUAUUUAAAGUAACAGUAGCAUCUAUGUUAACAAUGUUAACAGAGGCAUGUUCGAAUCUAUCCCACCACGCAUUGGACAGAAGGCAGGGAAACACCCUGGACAGUUCAUCUUAACCCUUUUAACAUGUGUACACAGGAAGAAGAAGAAGAAAGGAGACCUGAGUUGGAACAUCUGCUAAUCCAUGUGACCUGACAGAAACAUCAAAGAAGUUUGAGAGAUAGCUGAAGGUAUAACACUAACUGUUGUAAAAC